rnacentral:rRNA from 1 species
AGGACGAACGCUGGCGGCGUGCUUAACACAUGCAAGUCGAGCGAGGCUCCUUCUUCGGAAGGUGUCCUAGCGGCGAACGGGUGAGUAACACGUGGGCAACCUGCCCUCAGCUCUGGGAUAACUCCGGGAAACCGGGGCUAAUACCGGAUACGACUUGGGUCGACAUCGACCUGGGUGGAAAGAAUUUCGGCUGAGGAUGGGCCCGCGGCCUAUCAUGCUUGAUGGUGAGGUAACGGCCCACCAUGGCGACGACGGGUAGCCGGCCUGAGAGGGCGACCGGCCACACUGGGACUGAGACACGGCCCAGACUCCUACGGGAGGCAGCAGUGGGGAAUAUUGCGCAAUGGGCGAAAGCCUGACGCAGCGACGCCGCGUGAGGGAUGAAGGCCUUCGGGUGUAAACCGUCUUUCAGCAGGACGAAGCGAAAGUGACGGUACCUGCAGAAGAAGCACCGGCCAACUACGUGCCAGCAGCCGC